UACGGGGGGAGCAAGCGUUGUUCGGAUUUACUGGGCGUAAAGGGCGCGUAGGCGGCGUGUUAAGUCAGCUGUGAAAUCUCCGAGCUUAACUCGGAACGGUCAGCUGAUACUGAUGUGCUAGAGUGCAGAAGGGGCAAUCGGAAUUCUUGGUGUAGCGGUGAAAUGCGUAGAUAUCAAGAGGAACACCUGAGGUGAAGACGGGUUGCUGGGCUGACACUGACGCUGAGACACGAAAGCCAGGGGAGCAAACGGG
rnacentral:rRNA from 1 species